UGGGUUCUUGAGCUCCGGAUGGAGAG
rnacentral:piRNA from 1 species